rnacentral:rRNA from 1 species
GGUCCUACGGGGGGCAGCAGUGAGGAAUAUUGGUCAAUGGCCGGAAGGCUGAACCAGCCAAGCCGCGUGAAGGACGAAGGUGCCAAGCAUUGUAAACUUCUUUUGUCAAGGGACAAAAUCAGGCUCGAGAGCCUGACCGAGGGUACUUGAAGAAAAAGCAUCGGCUAACUCCGUGCCAGCAGCCGCGGUAAUACGGAGGAUGCGAGCGUUAUCCGGAUUUACUGGGUGUAAAGGGCGUGUAGCCGGGUUGACAAGUCAGAUGUGAAAUCCUGCGGCUUAACCGCAGAACUGCAUUUGAAACUGUU